AGAACGAACGCUGGCGGCAUGCCUAAUACAUGCAAGUCGAACGAACUCUUCGGAGUUAGUGGCGCACGGGUGCGUAACGCGUGGGAAUCCGCCCUUGGGUUCGGAAUAACAGUUGGAAACGACUGCUAAUACCGGAUGAUGACGAAAGUCCAAAGAUUUAUCGCCCAGGGAUGAGCCCGCGUAGGAUUAGCUAGUUGGUGAGGUAAAGGCUCACCAAGGCGACGAUCCUUAGCUGGUCUGAGAGGAUGAUCAGCCACACUGGGACUGAGACACGGCCCAGACUCCGUACGGGAGGCAGCAGUAGGGAAUAUUGGACAAGUGGGACGAAAGCCGUGAUCCAG
rnacentral:rRNA from 1 species